GAGGAUUAUACUGUCUCCCCCCCUAAAUCACAGAAACUGAUCCCCCCGUGAAGAAGCGGGGAUAAAUAUAUAAAACGAGAAGACCCUAUGGAGCUUUAAACUCAACACCACUUACCUCAAUUGAUCCCCUUACAAACAGGUAAAGAUCGUGUAUGUUUUCAGUUGGGGUGACUGCGGAGCAAAAUAAAACCUCCACGAUGAAAAAUAACCUCUAAUCCAAGAACAACAUUUCAAAGAAUCAACAAAUUGACAUCAAUUGACCCAAAUAAUAAUUUGAUCAACGAACCAUGUUACCCUAGGGAUAACAGCGCAUUCCAUUUCAAGAGCUCAUAUCGACAAAUGGGUUUACAACCUCGAUUUUGGAUCAGGGUAUCCCAGUGGUGCAGCCCCUACUA
rnacentral:rRNA from 1 species